AUUAGCUUGUUUCUUUAUAUAAGGAGUAAAAUUUCACGUACAAUACUGGCAGUGCGAAUUGGCUCUGUUCUCUACAUUUCUUUUACCUCCUACCAUGUUAAGACAGAGCUGCUCUUCACGGAGCAUCGCAGUCUUAGAAAUACAUCUUCAAGAUCACCAGUAACUCUACAGACUCUUGAUGACUGGUUUUAUUAUAGAUCUGGAUCAUAAACGUGUCUGGAGAGCUGUGUUCCUUAUUCCUCUAAAGAUUUAUAAUAUUCCUAUUCCUACAACUUGAAUUUCAAGUGAAGAGAAGAUUUACUAGCAUUCUCCAAAUAAAGGAAAUCAGGACAGAAGACAACAGCACAUAGUCUGAUUCUCAGCAAAACAUAAGCCAUGUCACAGCAUAGCAGGGGAAGGCUUUGGUGGACUCAAAUGCAAGACCCCCUGCUGCCUAAGCGAACCUAUUACCUUGAAGGGGAAUUAAGGAUGGAUAACAGAAAACAAUGCAGCAUGGUCUCUUCUGCUGGAUUAACAAGACUGGAUUAACAAGAAAAAUAGAUGCCUUUGCUUUAGAGAAAGUCAGUUUCU
rnacentral:lncRNA from 1 species